rnacentral:rRNA from 1 species
GUCGAGAAUCAUUCGCAAUGGGCGCAAGCCUGACGGUGCGACGUCGCGUGGAGGAUGAAGGCCUUCGGAUUGUAAACUCCUGUCAUGUGGGAUAAAUGGCCAGGGCAUGAAUAGUGCCUUGGAAUGAUAGUACCACAGGAGGAAGGGACGGCUAACUCUGUGCCAGCAGCCGCGGUAAUUCAGAGGUCCCGAGCGUUGUUCGGAUUUACUGGGCGUAAAGGGAGCGUAGGCGGUUUGGUGUGUCGAAUG